CAUCUCAAUGAUGUUUUGUAUUGUUUAUGUUAAAAGUAGCCUGAUUUUGAUGAUAAUUUUUAUUUCUGAGAGAUG
rnacentral:snoRNA from 1 species